CUGAAGAGUUUGAUCAUGGCUCAGAUUGAACGCUGGCGGCAGGCCUAACACAUGCAAGUCGAACGGUAGCAGGAUGUGCUUGCACAUCGCUGACGAGUGGCGGACGGGUGAGUAAUGCUUGGGAACUUGCCUUUGCGAGGGGGAUAACAGUUGGAAACGACUGCUAAUACCGCAUAAGCCCACGACCCGGCAUCGGGAAGAGGGAAAAGGAGCAAUCCGCUUUGAGAUGGCCUCGCGUCCGAUUAGCUAGUUGGUGAGGUAACGGCCCACCAAGGCGACGAUCGGUAGCCGGACUGAGAGGUUGAACGGCCACAUUGGGACUGAGACACGGCCCAGACUCCUACGGGAGGCAGCAGUGGGGAAUAUUGCACAAUGGGGGAAACCCUGAUGCAGCGACGCCGCGUGGAGGAAGAAGGUCUUCGGAUUGUAAACUCCUGUUGUUGAGGAAGAUAAUGACGGUACUCAACAAGGAAGUGACGGCUAACUACGUGCCAGCAGCC
rnacentral:rRNA from 17 species